GAUGAACGCUGGCGGCGUGCCUAAUACAUGCAAGUCGAGCGAACCACUUCGGUGGUGAGCGGCGAACGGGUGAGUAACACGUAGGUGAUCUGCCCAUCAGACGGGGACAACGAUUGGAAACGAUCGCUAAUACCGGAUAGGACGAAAGUUUAAAGGUGCUUCUGGCACCGCUGAUGGAUGAGCCUGCGGCGCAUUAGCUAGUUGGUAGGGUAAAGGCCUACCAAGGCGACGAUGCGUAGCCGACCUGAGAGGGUGAACGGCCACACUGGGACUGAGACACGGCCCAGACUCCUACGGGAGGCAGCAGUAGGGAAUCUUCGGCAAUGGGCGAAAGCCUGACCGAGCAACGCCGCGUGAAUGAUGAAGGCCUUCGGGUUGUAAAAUUACUGUUAUAAGGGAAGAACGACUUAGUAGGAAUAGGC
rnacentral:rRNA from 1 species